GACAGUUGCAAUUGUGGUCGGGAUCAUGAUCCUGAGUUCAUGGAGUGCCCUUGUAAGGGUGAUAUUGAAGUGGCAAAAGUUAAAGCGGUCAAUCGAAUCUCCUAUGCCGAGGCAAUUAAAAUAAUUGAGAAAACAAGUGAUGCUAGUUAAGAUAUGGUGGUGGAUACACCACAGCAUGUAGUAAAUGUUUGCCGCCAGACCAAAAAGUUGGACUUUGUUACGUUCAUUGCCACAGUUAUAAACUGUACAGCACAAGAGGUACAAGGGGUAAGUCGAAGAAACUGGACAUUAUUGUGGCUGUGGAAGAAACGUUUUUGAAAAUGAAGACCUACAAGGGAAUCCUGGCGUCGGAAAACCCGCACUCCCAGGUUCACCUGGAGCCUGUGUAUGGAUCAGAUCUGUUUUAUUUGUUUUUAACAUACAUUAUUUUUUUGGUAGGUACGUUUUUUUGGGGGGGGUGAAUCAUGUUCCUAUCCCGCAUAGUAGAUAGCGGGAUGUGUGAUCGUCAAUAUACCAUAGAAAAAAAAGUCUUAUUCUGAAGGAUUCCAAAAAUCCGUGAACCGGAAGUACUUAGUUAUUCUUGCAUGCGUCACGGCAGUAUGAGAUAACACUCCUAUCGUUUGUUUGCGGAUGGCCAUAACAUUAUAGAAGAAGAGUCACAAUAACAACACAGCUCACUUGCCUUCACAGCAAAGAAGUUCACUUUGUUGUAUUACUCAAUACGUUGCAAGUGUAAGCUACAUGUGUUACAAACAAUACGUCAAGAAACAAUAACGAAGCAGCAAGUAAGUGCUUGUUUGAGUUAGCAGCGAAACUCACGCGAAAGUUUGCCAGUACGGUUGUUCUUUUUCCCGAAGGAAGACUUGCGAUUUGAGGGGGAAAAUGGCCACCACAUCUUCUCUUCCAGAGGAGGACCUCACCUGUCCCGUAUGCCGAGACAUCUUCAGAGACCCAGUCAUCCUGUUGUGUAGCCACAGCUUCUGUAAAGACUGUAUACAUGGCUACUGGAGGGAGAGAGAAGUGAAGGAAUGUCCAGUUUGUAGGAAAAGAUCAAAACUCAGUGAUGCACCCCUCAACCGGGCUUUGAAGAACCUCUGUGAGGCCUACUCAAAGGAGAAAGCAUCUGCAGGUGUCCUCUGCAGUCUGCAUGGGGAGAAAUACAAACUUUUCUGUCGUGACCACGGACAACCUGCUUGCCUGGUGUGUCAGACUUCUGAGUUACACACAAACCACAAGUUCUGCCCCAUGGACGAAGCUGCCAAAGAAUAUAAGGAGUCUGUGCUGAAGCUACUACAGAACAAACUGGAGGUCCUUGAGGCAGACAGUCGAAAUUGUGUUCAAACGGUAGAUACUAUCACGAGCCAGGCCCUGUCCACAGAGAGGAAAAUAAGGGAACAGUUUGAGGAGCUUCACCAGUUUCUACGGAAUGAAACGGUAGUCAGGAUAGCUGCCCUGAAGCAGGACGAAGACAACAAGAGUCAAAUGAUGAUGAGGAAGAUUGAGGAGAUGAACAGAGAGAUCUCGUCCCUUUCUGACACCAUCCAAACCCUAGAGGAAGAGAUAGGGGCUGAAAACAUUUCUUUGCUACAGGACUACGAGGUCAUCAAGAAAAGCAGCACUGACUCCUUAAUGUUCUCCCAGAGUUCAGUGCAUAUUGCCAGAUCCAGAGAGGGUUUCAGGGGUGCUGAUUGAUGUGGCCAGACACCUUGGCAACCUGCAGUUCAGAGUCUGGGAGAAUAUGCAGGAAAUUGUUGAGUACACUCCUGUGAUUCUGGAUCCCAACACUGCUCACCCAGAUCUCAUCCUGUCUGGUGACCUGACCAGCUUCACAUGCAGACUCAGUGAUGACCAACAGCAGCUUCCUGACAACCCAGAGAGGUUUAAACACCGCUAUGCUGUCCUGGGCUCCGAGGGCUUCAGCUCGGGGACACAAAGUUGGGACGUAGAGGUUGGGGACAGCAAAGAGUGGGCAGUAGGUGUAGCCAUAGAGUCUUGCGAUAGGAAGGAGACGUCUCGGUGGCAUAUUAGUGGAGUCUGGUAUGUACUCUCAAGAGAAGGGAGUGACUAUAUUGACCAAGUGUCACCGAAUGCAUGCUACUGUCUUGAACCCUUUAAAGUGAAACCCCAGAGGAUCCGAGUGCAGCUGGACUGGGACAAAGAAACGGUGUCACUUUCUGAUCCUGUCAAUAACCAACGCAUUGGGUGUUUCUUCAAAAACCCUCAAAUAUUUUCACUGAGUUUCACUGAGAGAAUUUUUCCGUUCCUCAGUGGGGACUAUGUCAGGGUUAUGCCAGUGAAGGCCUCUGUAACCGUAUAGCACAGUUAGAGCUGAUAAUUACACAAGUCAGGCUUCCUGUGAAAACAAAACUACAAGCUAAAAGGCAAUUGACACAAACGAUUGCUGUGGGAACAUUGUUGACCAAUUUCAAAUGCAUUAAUUGAAAUGAAUCAGUUGGUUCAUUUUAAUGUGUCUUAAUAUCAGUAAACCCUUGUCUGAUAGACAUGAGAACUGCGGGUUUAGUUCUGUUUGCUGUUUUUCAGUGAUUGUGCCUGCUGCUGAAUCUCAUUCAACAUCGACUUCAUGGGACAGAUUUGGAAUAUAUCGGGGGUUUUCCAUUUUGAAUGCCAGGUGUACUGAACACAGAUAUCCUCGUUGGCCUUUUGAACAGUUUGUCUAGAGAAAUGUUACUGUUGUUCAGUUAAUCUUCUAGUGAAGUAUCCGCUAACCAAGUAUGAUACAGCAAUCUUUCAGUCAAUGACAUGCAUUAAUUAGUUGAUGCAACACUACCUUUGACUCAGCCUGGCUGUGACUGAGAUCCCACUCCCCCUCUCUCUCCCACUUCCUCUUCAAAGAACUGACUCCCUCUCACUUCCUGAAUUCAUCCUUCUGGUCUUUUUAUUUACAUUUACUGUUUCCUUAUUUAGCCUUUUUAAGAGCUUUGGGGUUUCUUCUCUCAGUCAUGGUCUUCCUGUCUGUGAAGUGUGUUUCUCCAUUCUAGUGUAAUUCAAUGUAAUGUAAGUUGAGUAAUUGCUGCUGUGUUUAAUACCAUGGUCAUGUUUUACAGCCUUUCUCAUGUAUUAAGUCAGUUUUCAUUUUAUACAUAAAAUUACAUUUAAAUCUG